rnacentral:pre_miRNA from 1 species
UUAAGCUAAGUACACAUGGAGUUAGCACGUUUGCGUACGUUUGCCGCUAGGGGCGCUGUUCUAACUCCAUACAAAUUUGAGUUA